AGGACGAACGCUGGCGGCGUGCUUAACACAUGCAAGUCGAGCGGUAAGGCCUUUCGGGGUACACGAGCGGCGAACGGGUGAGUAACACGUGGGUGAUCUGCCCUGCACUCUGGGAUGAGCCUGGGAAACUGGGUCUAAUACCGGAUAUGACCUGCUCUCGCAUGGGGGGUGGUGGAAAGAUUUAUCGGUGCAGGAUGGGCCCGCGGCCUAUCAGCUUGGUUGGUGGGGUAAUGGCCUACCGAAGGCGACGACGGGUAGCCGACCUGAGAGGGUGACCGGCACACGUGGGACUGACGACACGGCCCAGACCUCCGUACGGGAGCAGCCAAGGUGGGGAAU
rnacentral:rRNA from 1 species